ACUCCUACGGGAGGCAGCAGUGGGGAAUAUUGCACAAUGGGCGGAAGCCUGAUGCAGCAACGCCGCGUGAGGGAUGACGGCCUUCGGGUUGUAAACCUCUUUUAGCAAGGAAGAAGCGAAAGUGACGGUACUUGCAGAAAAAGCGCCGGCUAACUACGUGCCAGCAGCCGCGGUAAU
rnacentral:rRNA from 1 species